rnacentral:rRNA from 1 species
AGGCCAUAAGGGCACACGGUGGAUGUCUUGGCGUCAAGAGGCGAUGAAGGACGCGGUCACCUGCGAUAAUUUCCGGGGAGCUGGUAAACGAGCUGAGAUCCGGAAGUCUCCGAAUGGGGCAACCCAUCCCUUUGGGAUACUUCACCCUGAAUGCAUAGGGGUGAAGAGCGAACGUGCAGAACUGAAACAUCUAAGUAUGCACAGGAAAAGAAAGCAACAGCGAUUCCGUCAGUAGCGGCGAGCGAACGCGGAUCAGUCAGCGGAACAGCGAAGCACCUGGAAAGGUGCGCCACAGAAGGUGAAAGCCCUGUAGCGGGAAGCUGAUGAGCCCUUGAGUAAACUCGGUCUCGUGAAACCCGGGUUGAACAUGGGGGGUCCACCCUCCAAGGCUAAAUACUCCUUGACGACCGAUAGUGAAUCAGUAAGGCGACUGAACGAUGACAAGAACCGCGAUGAGCGGAGUGAAAGAGUACCUGAAACCGUGUGCUUACAAGCGGUGGGAGCCCUUCGGGGUGACCGCGUGCUUUUUGCAUAAUGAGCCGGCGAGUUAGUCUGUACGGCGAGCCUAAGGCCUACCGGGCCGGAGGCGGAGCGAAAGCGAGUCUGAAUAGGGCGUUGAGUCGUACGGGCUAGACGCGAAACCUAAGUGAUCUACCCAUGGUCAGGCUGAAGUGGGGGUAAAACCCCAUGGAGGGCCGAAGCCGUGACCGUUGAAAAGGUCUGGCAUGAACUGUGGGGAGGACUAAAAGUGUAAUCAAACUGGGAGAUAGCUCGUUCUCUCCGAAAUAACUUUAGGGUUAGCCUCAGGCGGCAACUGUUGGGGGUAGAGCUACUGGAUGAACUUUGGGGUCUACCCGACUACCGGGUUCAACCAAACUCCGAAUACCAACAGCCAAGACCUGGGAGAUAGACGGCGAGUGACAAUAUCCGUCGUCAAAAGGAGAACAAUCCAGACCGCCAGCUAAGGUCCCGAAUCGACGCUAAGUUCGAAAGGAAGUCGGAUUGCAAUGACAGCCAGGAUGUUGGCUUAGAAGCAGCCAUCAUUUAAAGAGUGCGUAACAGCUCACUGGUCGAGGAGUCCGGCGCCGAUAAUGAUCGGGAAUAAGCGUCGAGCCGAAGCUGCGGGCGCAGCAAUGCGCGGUAGGAGAGCGUAGUUAGGGCGCUGAAGCGAUGCGGGAACGCGUCGUGGAGCGCUAACUAGUGCAUAUGCCGGCUUAAGUAACGAUAAAACGGGUGAAAAUCCCGUUCGCCGUAAACCCAAGGUUUCCUGGGGAAGGUAAAUCCGCCCAGGGUUAGCCGGGACCUAAGGCGAGGCCGAAAGGCGUAGUCGAUGGACAUCAGGUUAAUAUUCCUGAGCCGUUGCCGUGAACAGAUUCUUGAGCUCCGCGGGACUGUCAGAUGUCCAGGCCCUUGAGGCCGAUGCGGAGGGAUGGAGUCUCUAGAAAAGGCGGCAACAAGCCCGUACCAAAACCGACACAGGUGGGUGAGGCGAAUAGCCUCAGGCGCUCGAGAGAACGGUCGUGAAGGAACUAGGCAAAUUAACCCCGUACGUUCGCUAGAAGGGGGGCCUACUCCUUCGGGAGAGGCCGCAGAGAAAAGGAUCUGGGAACUGUUUAUCAAAAACACAGCUCUGUGCAAACUCGCAAGAGGACGUAUACAGAGUGACGCGUGCUCAAUGCCGGAAUGUCACGGGAGCGGGUCAGCGCAAGCGAAGCUCGCGACUCAAGCACCGGUGAAUAGCGGCCGUAACUAUGACGGUCCUAAGGUAGCGAAAUUCCUUGUCGGGUAAGUUCCGACGCGCAUGAACGGCGCAAUCACUCCCACACUGUCUUGUCCUUGGACUCGGUGAAAUUACAUUCCCGGUAAAAAUGCCGGGUAGUUGCAGUUAGACGGAAAGACCCUGUGAAGCUUUACUAUAAAUUGGUAUUGUACUAUAGCAUAUGUCACUCAGUAUAAGUGGGAGACUUUGAGGUUUGGAUUUUGGUCCAGGCGGAGUCGUCAUUGAGAUACCACUUGAUGUCUGUCGUAGUACUAACCCCAAAACAUAUGGGGAACAGUGCCAGUUUGGUAGUUUACCUGGGGCGGGUGCCUCCUAAAAUGUAACGGAGGCGUACAAAGGUUUGCUUAGUACGGAUGGAAACCGUACUGAAAGUAUAUUCACAUAAGCAAGCUUGACUGUGAGACUGACAGGUCGAACAGGGUGGAAACACGGUGAAAGUGAUCCGGAUCUUCCAUGUGGAAGGGGAUCCGCUCAACGGAUAAAAGUUACUCCGGGGAUAACAGGCUAAUGGAGCCUAAGCGUCCAUAGCGACGGCUCCGUUUGGCACCUCGAUGUCGACUCGUCGCAUCCUGGAGCUGUAGAAGGUUCCAAGGGUUGGGCUGUUCGCCCAUUAAAGCGGUACGCGAGUUGGGUUCAGAACGUCGUGAGACAGUUCGGUCCCUAUCUACUGCAACCGUAAGCAAUUUGAGAAGCGCUGUCUCUAGUACGAGAGGACCGAGAUGGACCAGCCGCUGGUAGUACCAGUUGUUCCGCCAGGAGCACUGCUGGAUAGCUAUGCUGGGAAAAGAGAAUCACUGAAAGCAUAUAAGUGAGAAACUUGCUUCAAGAUUAGAUUGCUCUCUCUUCGGAGGUAAGAUCCCCCAGAGACUAUGGGGUUGAUAGGCGUCAAGUGGAAGUGCUGUAAGGCAUUGAGCUGAGACGUACUAAUAGAUCGAGUGAGUUUAU